GACGAACGCUGGCGGCGUGCUUAACACAUGCGAGUCGAACGGAAAGGCCCUGCUUUUGUGGGGUGCUCGAGUGGCGAACGGGUGAGUAACACGUGAGUAACCUGCCCUUGACUUUGGGAUAACUUCAGGAAACUGGGGCUAAUACCGGAUAGGAGCUCCUGCUGCAUGGUGGGGGUUGGAAAGUUUCGGCGGUUGGGGAUGGACUCGCGGCUUAUCAGCUUGUUGGUGGGGUAGUGGCUUACCAAGGCUUUGACGGGUAGCCGGCCUGAGAGGGUGACCGGACACAUUGGGACUGAGGUACGGCCCAGACUCCUACGGGAGGCAGCAGUGGGGAAUAUUGCACGAUGGGCGGAAGCCUGAUGCAGGAACGCCGCGUGCGGGAUGACGGCCUUCGGGUUGUAAACCGCUUUCGCCUGUGACGAAGCGUGAGUGACGGUAAUGGGUAAAGAAGCACCGGCUAACUACGUG
rnacentral:rRNA from 1 species